CUCAACCUCGGAAUUGCAGUCGAUACUGCUGUGACUCGAGUCCGGUAGAGGAGAAUGGAAUUCUCGGUGUAGCGGUGAAAUGCGCAGAUAUCGAGAGGAACACCAGUAGCGAAGGCGGUUCUCUGGGCCGGCACUGACGCUGAGGAGCGAAAGCGUGGGGAGCAAACAGGAUUAGAUACCCUGGUAGUCCACGCUGUAAACGUUGGAUACUAGGUGUGGCGGUCUUACCAACGACUGCCGUGCCGAAGCUAACGCAUUAAGUAUCCCGCCUGGGGAGUACGGCCGCAAGGCUGAAACUCAAAGGAAUCGACGGGUCCCCGCACAAGCGGCGGAGCAUGCGGCUUAAUUCGAUGCAACCCGAAGAACCUUACCUGGGUUUGACAUCACGGGAAAAGCUGUAGAAAUACAGUGUCCAUUAGGGCCC
rnacentral:rRNA from 1 species